GAUGAACGCUGGCGGCGUGCCUAAUACAUGCAAGUCGAGCGAACAGAUGAGGAGCUUGCUCCUCUGUCGUUAGCGGCGCACGGGUGAGUCACACGUGGAUAACCUACCUAUCAGUCUGGUAUAACUUCGGGAAACCGGAUCUAAUACCGGAUAAUAUAUUGAACCACAUGGUUCAAUAGUGAAAGACGGCUUUGCUGUCUCUUAUAGAUGGAUCUGCGCCGUAUUAGCUAGUUGUUAAGGUAACGGCUUACCAAGGCGACGAUGCGUAGCCGACCUGAGAGGGUGAUCGGCCACACUGGAACUGAGACACGGUCCAGACGCCUACGGGAGGCAGCAGUAGGGAAUCUGCCGCAAUGGGCGAAAGCAUGACGGAGCAACGCCGCGUGAGUGAUGAAGGUCUUCGGAGCGGAAAGCUCUGUUAUUAGGGAAGAACAAAUGUGGAAGUAACUAUGCACGUCUUGACGGUACCUAAUCAGAAAGCCACGGCUAACUACGUG
rnacentral:rRNA from 1 species